rnacentral:misc_RNA from 1 species
UCUAGAUAGAUGGAAUGUGAGUGUUCACACAGAUUGUCUGAUGAAAUAGCGCGUAAAGCCAAUCUAAGAUUGACGAAAGAGCUCGAAGUCCCCUUCGUCUAGAGGCCUAGGACAUCGCCCUUUCACGGCGGGAACAGGGGUUCGAAUCCCCUAGGGGACGCCACUUUAGUAAUUUAGAAAGGCGGUGGAUCACACUUUUAGUGUUGCGUACUGUUUGUGGUUUACCAAUAAUGCUCUUUAACAAUCUGGAACAAGCUGAAAAUUGAAACACACAUUAUUGAAACAAUAGUGUGGAGAACUCUCAAAACUCCAAUCAAUUGUGUUUUUGUUGUCAUGAUGAGGCGUUAUAUGAGCGAGCAGUCAGCAAUUCGAGGCGGCCAGCGAACAGCAAGCGCAGCGUACUAAAGUACGUGAGCACUGCGCGCACUGCCCAACAAAGAAUUGGUGGACACUUAGCCAUAACCAAACAAAAAGACAGUAGAAGACACCUUCGGGUUGUGA